rnacentral:rRNA from 1 species
GACGAACGCUGGCGGCGUGCUUAACACAUGCAAGUGGAGCGACGAAGCGGGCUUCGGCCCGUGGCAGAGCCGCGAACGGGGGAGUAACACGUGGGUAACCUACCUCGAUGACCGGGACAACCCGAGGAAACUCGGGCUAAUACCGGAUGUGCUGGUCCCUUGUAAGGGGGUUCAGUAAAGAUAGCAUUGGCCUUCGCAUCGAGACGGGCCCGCGGCCGAUUAGCUGGUUGGUGAGGUAACGGCGUACCAAGGCGACGACGGGUAGCUGGUCUGAGAGUCCGAUCAGCCACACGGGAACUGAGACACGGCCCCGACUCCUACGGGAGGCAGCAGUGGGGCAUCUUGCGCAAUGGGCGCACGCCUGACGCAGCACCGCCGCGUGGGGGAAGACGGUCUUCGGAUUGUAAACUCCUUUCAGUUGGGACGAAGCUUCGCCGGUUAAUAGCCGGCCGGAGUGACGGUACCUUCAGAAGAAGCCCCGGCUAACUACGUGCCAGCCGCCGCUGUAA